UUUAAAAUGAGAGUUUGAUCCUGGCUCAGGACGAACGCUGGCGGCGUGCCUAAUACAUGCAAGUCGAGCGAGCGGAACUAACAGAUUUACCUCGGUAAUGACGUUAGGAAAGCGAGCGGCGGAUGGGUGAGUAACACGUGGGGAACCUGCCCCAUAGUCUGGGAUACCACUUGGAAACAGGUGCUAAUACCGGAUAAGAAAGCAGAUCGCAUGAUCAGCUUUUAAAAGGCGGCGUAAGCUGUCGCUAUGGGAUGGCCCCGCGGUGCAUUAGCUAGUUGGUAAGGUAAAGGCUUACCAAGGCGAUGAUGCAUAGCCGAGUUGAGAGACUGAUCGGCCACAUUGGGACUGAGACACGGCCCAAACUCCUACGGGAGGCAGCAGUAGGGAAUCUUCCACAAUGGACGCAAGUCUGAUGGAGCAACGCCGCGUGAGUGAAGAAGGUUUUCGGAUCGUAAAGCUCUGUUGUUGGUGAAGAAGGAUAGAGGUAGUAACUGGCCUUUAUUUGACGGUAAUCAACCAGAAAGUCACGGCUAACUACGUGCCAGCAGCCGCGGUAAUACGUAGGUGGCAAGCGUUGUCCGGAUUUAUUGGGCGUAAAGCGAGCGCAGGCGGAAGAAUAAGUCUGAUGUGAAAGCCCUCGGCUUAACCGAGGAACUGCAUCGGAAACUGUUUUUCUUGAGUGCAGAAGAGGAGAGUGGAACUCCAUGUGUAGCGGUGGAAUGCGUAGAUAUAUGGAAGAACACCAGUGGCGAAGGCGGCUCUCUGGUCUGCAACUGACGCUGAGGCUCGAAAGCAUGGGUAGCGAACAGGAUUAGAUACCCUGGUAGUCCAUGCCGUAAACGAUGAGUGCUAAGUGUUGGGAGGUUUCCGCCUCUCAGUGCUGCAGCUAACGCAUUAAGCACUCCGCCUGGGGAGUACGACCGCAAGGUUGAAACUCAAAGGAAUUGACGGGGGCCCGCACAAGCGGUGGAGCAUGUGGUUUAAUUCGAAGCAACGCGAAGAACCUUACCAGGUCUUGACAUCUAGUGCCAUUUGUAGAGAUACAAAGUUCCCUUCGGGGACGCUAAGACAGGUGGUGCAUGGCUGUCGUCAGCUCGUGUCGUGAGAUGUUGGGUUAAGUCCCGCAACGAGCGCAACCCUUGUUAUUAGUUGCCAGCAUUAAGUUGGGCACUCUAAUGAGACUGCCGGUGACAAACCGGAGGAAGGUGGGGAUGACGUCAAGUCAUCAUGCCCCUUAUGACCUGGGCUACACACGUGCUACAAUGGGCAGUACAACGAGAAGCGAGCCUGCGAAGGCAAGCGAAUCUCUGAAAGCUGUUCUCAGUUCGGACUGCAGUCUGCAACUCGACUGCACGAAGCUGGAAUCGCUAGUAAUCGCGGAUCAGCACGCCGCGGUGAAUACGUUCCCGGGCCUUGUACACACCGCCCGUCACACCAUGGGAGUCUGCAAUGCCCAAAGCCGGUGGCCUAACCUUCGGGAAGGAGCCGUCUAAGGCAGGGCAGAUGACUGGGGUGAAGUCGUAACAAGGUAGCCGUAGGAGAACCUGCGGCUGGAUCACCUCCUUUCUAAGGAA
rnacentral:rRNA from 1 species